ACUGACUUUGAUGAAUUUACUGUUUACCAGAACCCAGAUGAGACAAGAAGCUAAUGUUAGCUAACGCUGCUGUGACGUCCCAUCUGCCUCUGACUCCCGUUGCAGGAGAACGCUGUAUUCCUCCGACACGCUGUAUUAAGGUUACUGUUUUAAAACCGUUUUCCAGAUAGUGAUAUCUCCACAGUGGCCAAAUGGAUUGGAUCCAUCUCUAUUCAUUCUUUUGCCAUUUGAACUGCGAAGACAGACCUUACAAAUCUCUUACAACGUGGACCCUGGGAACAUAGGGAUGACCCCGGUCCAACACUGAUAUUGGGUGUUGAGGUCUGGCCGGAAGUUGGUGCUCCAGUUUAUCCCCCAAAGAUUUUGGGUGGGGUUAAGUUCAAGUUCUUCCACACCAAACUGGGAAAAUCUUUUCUUUAUGAAUGUUAUAGCAUUAAGCUUUCUAUUGAUUGGAACUAAGAGGCCUAGCCCAAACCAUGAACCAUGAAAAAAGACUAAGUGCACAAAGUUGUGUAUUGGGGCUUCCACAUACCUUUCGCCAUAUUAACUGUCCCUCUUUUUUGUUUUGUAAGUGUUUCCAAAUGGAGAGCAUGUGAAUAAUGUUAUCAUUAAAGAUAAUUAAAGUCAAAUUCUCAGA